GGACAGAGCAUGCGCGCGCUUCCCUCCCUUUCCCCCCCUUCCCUCCCUUUCCCCCCUCUUCUUUGAAACGCAGCCAGCGCGUGCGCACUUCGCCCCUCUGCUGAAGAAUGACCGUUAGGCGGCUCCCAACGGACUUUUUUCGAAACUAAGGGGCGUGGCUUCGUGUGGAGGCGGGGCUUAAGACCCUUUAAAAGCGGCUUCGCGCUUAUUCCAUGGAGGAGAGAUUUGAUGGCUUAGUAGGCCAUAGACAUCUUUAACCUUCCUGAUUCUGCACAAAACACUGGGAGGAGAUUUCUAUAUGUCAACAUUGCAAAUGGAAUACUCAGUUUUUUACCAGCAAGCAGUGCACCUGAUUUGCUGAAAUCUACAUCAUUUUGGAAAUGUAGUUCAAGAGCUUGAUUAAUGAAAUUUCGCACUUCACGUGGAGGGCAGGCCUCAAUAUGGACCGUUCUUUAGAACUUGUUUGGUUGGUGGAAUAUUUCCAACGCUAGAUGGAGCAGCAGACCUGGACAAAGAACCACAGAAAAGCCACUUGUUGCUUAAUGCUUAUGCGUUUUCUAUGGGCUCUUUUUGGAAAGAUAAUAGGAAAACACUGAUGUUUCCUGUUUCCCCAGAUAUAAACCUGAAUCCUAUGAUUAUUCCCAACCUGAGGAGACCUGUUGCAUCAAUGGGAUUGAUCUGUGUAUUGAUUCACCAAUAAACAACUCAUUCCAUGGGCAGAUAGGACAAAAUAAUAGGAUUCGAUUCAUAAUAUUUAGACCACGC